CGUAGGUGGCAAGCGUUAUCCGGAUUUAUUGGGCGUAAAGAGAGUGCAGGCGGUUUUCUAAGUCUGAUGUGAAAGCCUUCGGCUUAACCGGAGAAGUGCAUCGGAAACUGGAUAACUUGAGUGCAGAAGAGGGUAGUGGAACUCCAUGUGUAGCGGUGGAAUGCGUAGAUAUAUGGAAGAACACCAGUGGCGAAGGCGGCUACCUGGUCUGCAACUGACGCUGAGACUCGAAAGCAUGGGUAGCGAACAGGAUU
rnacentral:rRNA from 1 species